GAUGAACGCUGGCGGCGUGUUUAACACAUGCAAGUCGAGCGAGAAGCUCAUGACCAAUACUUCGGUUGCGUGAUUGAGUGGAAAGCGGCGGACGGGUGAGUAACGCGUAGGCAACCUGCCCUGUGCUGAGGGAUAGCCUCGGGAAACCGGGAUUAAAACCUCAUAACGCGGCACCGAGACAUCUCGGAGCCGCCAAAGAUUUAUCGGCACGGGAUGGGCCUGCGUCUGAUUAGUUAGUUGGUGGGGUAACGGCCUACCAAGGCGACGAUCAGUAGCCGACCUGAGAGGGUGAUCGGCCACAUUGAAACUGAGACACGGUCCAA
rnacentral:rRNA from 1 species